AAACGAUACCCAAAUCUGGAAAUUUUUGAUGUAAAAUGAUCCUUAAAGUAUUUGGAAGCUAAUGGUGAAAACCAAUUUGAAAACGGAGUUGAAAUCAAUUCACAAACUCAAUUUGAAGGAAAAUCCACGUUCUUGAAGAAGCCUAAAAUAUUCGGAUCCGAAACCCCGACUCGAAAAUGAAAUAUCUCUUGAAAAACAUCUUACCCAUGCUUAGAUAAGUUCAAAUAUGAAAUUUCAUCAAAAACGGAGUUAAGAUCGACCUUGAAAUUCUCAAUUUAUCAAACUUUAACUUUACCGGGA
rnacentral:lncRNA from 1 species